rnacentral:rRNA from 1 species
CAUGCUUUACACAUGCAAGUCGAACGGCAGCACGGGCUUCGGCCUGGUGGCGAGUGGCGAACGGGUGAGUAAUAUAUCGGAACGUACCCAAGAGUGGGGGAUAACGUAGCGAAAGUUACGCUAAUACCGCAUACGAUCUAAGGAUGAAAGUGGGGGAUCGCAAGACCUYRUGCUCCUGGAGCGGCCGAUAUCUGAUUAGCUAGUUGGUGAGGUAAAGGCUCACCAAGGCGACGAUCAGUAGCUGGUCUGAGAGGACGACCAGCCACACUGGAACUGAGACACGGUCCAGACUCCUACGGGAGGCAGCAGUGGGGAAUUUUGGACAAUGGGCGCAAGCCUGAUCCAGCAAUGCCGCGUGAGUGAAGAAGGCCUUCGGGUUGUAAAGCUCUUUUGUCAGGGAAGAAACGGUAGAGGCUAAUAUCCUUUGCUAAUGACGGUACCUGAAGAAUAAGCACCGGCUAACUACGUGCCAGCAGCCGCGGUAAUACGUAGGGUGCAAGCGUUAAUCGGAAUUACUGGGCGUAAAGCGUGCGCAGGCGGUUUUGUAAGUCUGUCGUGAAAGCCCCGGGCUCAACCUGGGAAUUGCGAUGGAGACUGCAAGGCUUGAAUCUGGCAGAGGGGGGUAGAAUUCCACGUGUAGCAGUGAAAUGCGUAGAGAUGUGGAGGAACACCGAUGGCGAAGGCAGCCCCCUGGGUCAAGAUUGACGCUCAUGCACGAAAGCGUGGGGAGCAAACAGGAUUAGAUACCCUGGUAGUCCACGCCCUAAACGAUGUCUACUAGUUGUCGGGUUUUAAUUAACUUGGUAACGCAGCUAACGCGUGAAGUAGACCGCCUGGGGAGUACGGUCGCAAGAUUAAAACUCAAAGGAAUUGACGGGGACCCGCACAAGCGGUGGAUGAUGUGGAUUAAUUCGAUGCAACGCGAAAAACCUUACCUACCCUUGACAUGUCAGGAAGGCCGGAGAGAU